rnacentral:tRNA from 2 species
GUCGGGGUAGCUCAGUUGGUAGAGCAGAGGGAUCAUAAUCCUCAGGUCGUGGGUUCAAUCCCCACCCCCGACACCA